CCCUCUAGAACAUGGCCCAUUUUCCUGCAAACAACCGUUCCUAAAAUCCAUUUAACAACCAACAGGCAGUGGGAAUCAAGAAAAGCCGAUCAAUCGACUAUUUGAGGCCUUACGGAUCUGUUUUGCAGUCCGGAUGGUCCUGGAGUAAUGACUUAGAGUGAUCUGUGAACCCUUUUGUAACAACCAUAGUUGUUUCCUGUCUAGGGAUAACAUGCGUUAGUGCUAGCCACCUACUUCUUAGCACCGGGAAUAAAACCGGGAGGGGUUCGAAUCCCCUCUGCAAGAUGCGUGGCCAUGGAAUUCCAACCUCCAUGACUGGCGCAAGGUUCCCUUCUCUUGUCGAUUGCUAGCUUAGGAGGAGCCAUAAGAACCCAUCCGCAAUCUCCCCCUGGGGAUAAUGGUCAAUUUCAUCGAUCGAGGGAAUCGAUGGAAACAUUCCCUGGCAAGAGGGGUAAUAGACUUGAGUUACAAAGGACAAGAAGGCACAGAUUGUGGAAGAUCUUCCGAUGCUAGGCGGAAGACACCACUGGGCGGAUCCCACGGGGGUCCGUCCUGCGACAGUGACCGACGCGACGCUAUACCGGAAAGGCCCCUCGGGGUGUUAGAAAGUGUAGGAUGUGUACAGAGCAGUGCUUGGAAAGGGUUGUGCUUCGGGCAAACACCUAAAAAGGUUUUCCCCCGAACCCCCUUUCCAAAAAAGAUGGAACGGAACUGGAACCUAACUUUGGUGAUUAUCUUCAGUGGUUAGGUUCCAAGAACUAUAGUAUAACUCAUUAGCUACACCCCCGCCCUCAGGGUGAAGGUGUUCCCCCCGAGACCCCCCUUCUGGUUUUGGAUUACGAGUUUCCAAGGGACCGGAGCCGACUUGGGAUUAUAAAAGAGUUAUACUUGUUCUGCCCGACCUUCGGGAUAGUGAAUCCUUCCUGCCAGGAAGGCUUCCCUCUCCCUUUGGUCUCCAGGGAUAAGAAGUUCCAUCACUCUGCUCUGCUUCCCGGAAAUCCGGUUAAGAAGAAUGCAUAUUCUACACUUUCCGGGAAGCAGAGCAGAGAGAACAGAGCCCUCGCCCCGGAGGGGCUAAUUCUUGUAGUGAAGAGAUAAAGAAACAUAGAACUUGUGUAUUCCACCAGAGAUGCUCUGUUUUCCACCAGAGAAGCUAUGUUUCUUGUCCUUACAGUGGCAUCCCUAAGGGAUGUCUUACUACCCUUCGAGUCCGAUCUCAGGGUAGCGCUUAGGCGGGGGCCCCAUACCCAUGGGGUUUAGUAGUAGAUUUAUCGAGGGAUUUACCUCGAUCAAUCGGGGUGGCAUCCCAGAGGGAUGGUCUUGUCUUGUAUUAAUGGGAAUUCCUCCCUUUGGUCGGAUACUUAGAUCAUCUAUUUUAGUGGUGCCUUUGGUCACCUCUAAAAUUAUAGGAUUGGCAGGUGAAAUAAGAAUAAAGGAAUUUCUCUCGAAACCCGGUUGGGUUUCUAGCUCGAUUUACUAGGCGAUAUGAGGGUUUUCCAACUCGAGGUACAAACCCCUUAAGACCUAUCCGAACUCUCGAUAGAGAGCCCUCUAGAACAUGGCCCAUUUUCCUGCAAACAACCGUUCCUAAAAUCCAUUUAACAACCAACAGGCAGUGGGAAUCAAGAAAAGCCGAUCAAUCGACUAUUUGAGGCCUUACGGAUCUGUUUUGCAGUCCGGAUGGUCCUGGAGUAAUGACUUAGAGUGAUCUGUGAACCCUUUUGUAACAACCAUAGUUGUUUCCUGUCUAGGGAUAACAUGCGUUAGUGCUAGCCACCUACUUCUUAGCACCGGGAAUAAAACCGGGAGGGGUUCGAAUCCCCUCUGCAAGAUGCGUGGCCAUGGAAUUCCAACCUCCAUGACUGGCGCAAGGUUCCCUUCUCUUGUCGAUUGCUAGCUUAGGAGGAGCCAUAAGAACCCAUCCGCAAUCUCCCCCUGGGGAUAAUGGUCAAUUUCAUCGAUCGAGGGAAUCGAUGGAAACAUUCCCUGGCAAGAGGGGUAAUAGACUUGAGUUACAAAGGACAAGAAGGCACAGAUUGUGGAAGAUCUUCCGAUGCUAGGCGGAAGACACCACUGGGCGGAUCCCACGGGGGUCCGUCCUGCGACAGUGACCGACGCGACGCUAUACCGGAAAGGCCCCUCGGGGUGUUAGAAAGUGUAGGAUGUGUACAGAGCAGUGCUUGGAAAGGGUUGUGCUUCGGGCAAACACCUAAAAAAGGUUUUCCCCCGAACCCCCUUUCCAAAAAAGAUGGAACGGAACUGGAACCUAACUUUGGUGAUUAUCUUCAGUGGUUAGGUUCCAAGAACUAUAGUAUAACUCAUUAGCUACACCCCCGCCCUCAGGGUGAAGGUGUUCCCCCCGAGACCCCCCUUCUGGUUUUGGAUUACGAGUUUCCAAGGGACCGGAGCCGACUUGGGAUUAUAAAAGAGUUAUACUUGUUCUGCCCGACCUUCGGGAUAGUGAAUCCUUCCUGCCAGGAAGGCUUCCCUCUCCCUUUGGUCUCCAGGGAUAAGAAGUUCCAUCACUCUGCUCUGCUUCCCGGAAAUCCGGUUAAGAAGAAUGCAUAUUCUACACUUUCCGGGAAGCAGAGCAGAGAGAACAGAGCCCUCGCCCCGGAGGGGCUAAUUCUUGUAGUGAAGAGAUAAAGAAACAUAGAACUUGUGUAUUCCACCAGAGAUGCUCUGUUUUCCACCAGAGAAGCUAUGUUUCUUGUCCUUACAGUGGCAUCCCUAAGGGAUGUCUUACUACCCUUCGAGUCCGAUCUCAGGGUAGCGCUUAGGCGGGGGCCCCAUACCCAUGGGGUUUAGUAGUAGAUUUAUCGAGGGAUUUACCUCGAUCAAUCGGGGUGGCAUCCCAGAGGGAUGGUCUUGUCUUGUAUUAAUGGGAAUUCCUCCCUUUGGUCGGAUACUUAGAUCAUCUAUUUUAGUGGUGCCUUUGGUCACCUCUAAAAUUAUAGGAUUGGCAGGUGAAAUAAGAAUAAAGGAAUUUCUCUCGAAACCCGGUUGGGUUUCUAGCUCGAUUUACUAGGCGAUAUGAGGGUUUUCCAACUCGAGGUACAAACCCCUUAAGACCUAUCCGAACUCUCGAUAGAGAGCCCUCUAGAACAUGGCCCAUUUUCCUGCAAACAACCGUUCCUAAAAUCCAUUUAACAACCAACAGGCAGUGGGAAUCAAGAAAAGCCGAUCAAUCGACUAUUUGAGGCCUUACGGAUCUGUUUUGCAGUCCGGAUGGUCCUGGAGUAAUGACUUAGAGUGAUCUGUGAACCCUUUUGUAACAACCAUAGUUGUUUCCUGUCUAGGGAUAACAUGCGUUAGUGCUAGCCACCUACUUCUUAGCACCGGGAAUAAAACCGGGAGGGGUUCGAAUCCCCUCUGCAAGAUGCGUGGCCAUGGAAUUCCAACCUCCAUGACUGGCGCAAGGUUCCCUUCUCUUGUCGAUUGCUAGCUUAGGAGGAGCCAUAAGAACCCAUCCGCAAUCUCCCCCUGGGGAUAAUGGUCAAUUUCAUCGAUCGAGGGAAUCGAUGGAAACAUUCCCUGGCAAGAGGGGUAAUAGACUUGAGUUACAAAGGACAAGAAGGCACAGAUUGUGGAAGAUCUUCCGAUGCUAGGCGGAAGACACCACUGGGCGGAUCCCACGGGGGUCCGUCCUGCGACAGUGACCGACGCGACGCUAUACCGGAAAGGCCCCUCGGGGUGUUAGAAAGUGUAGGAUGUGUACAGAGCAGUGCUUGGAAAGGGUUGUGCUUCGGGCAAACACCUAAAAAAGGUUUUCCCCCGAACCCCCUUUCCAAAAAAGAUGGAACGGAACUGGAACCUAACUUUGGUGAU
rnacentral:lncRNA from 1 species